rnacentral:rRNA from 1 species
CCCUUAGAUGUUCUGGGCCGCACGCGCGCUACACUGAUGCAUUCAACGAGCCUAUCCUUGACCGACAGGUCCGGGUAAUCUUUGAAUCUGCAUCGUGACGGGGAUAGAUUAUUGCAAUUAUUAAUCUUCAACGAGGAAUGCCUAGUAGGCGCAAGUCAUCAGCUUGCGUCGAUUACGUCCCUGCCCUUUGUACACACCGCCCUUCGCUCCUACCGAUUGGGUGUGCUGGUGAAAUGUUCGGAUCGGCCGUUUGUCGCGGUUUCCGCGUCAUGUGGCUGAGAAGUUCAUUAAACCCUCCCACCUAGAGGAAGGAGAAGUCGUAACA